GCACAUUCUGCUGCUGGUUUGUCUUUAUAAGUUACCGGUAAUGUUGACAUUUUAAAUUUUCAGUGGUACAGAAGUAGCAGGUACAGGUGCACAAGCCUAGAGCACCCUCUUGUGGUUGUUAGUGUGAAAAUAACAAACGUGAAAUUAUAUAAUAAUGUGUUAAUAAUUUCACAGAUAAGUCGCUCCAGAGUAUAAGUCGCACCCCCGGCCAAACUAUGAAAACAGUGCGACUUAUAGUCCGGAAAAUACAGU